rnacentral:rRNA from 1 species
UACGUAGGGAGCGAGCGUUGUCCGGAAUUACUGGGUGUAAAGGGAGCGUAGGCGGGAAUGUCAGUCUGUUGUGAAAUCUAUCGGCUCAACCGGUAGCUGCGGCAGAAACUACAUUUCUUGAGUGAAGUAGAGGCAGGCGGAAUUCCUAGUGUAGCGGUGAAAUGCGUAGAUAUUAGGAGGAACACCAGUGGCGAAGGCGGCCUGCUGGGCUUUUACUGACGCUGAGGCUCGAAAGUGUGGGGAGCAAACAGGAUUAGAUACCCUGGUAGUCCACACCGUAAACGAUGAUUACUAGGUGUGGGGGGUCUGACCCCCUCCGUGCCGGAGUUAACACAAUAAGUAAUCCACCUGGGGAGUACGACCGCAAGGUUGAA